rnacentral:rRNA from 1 species
CCUACGGGUGGCAGCAGUGGGGAAUAUUGGACAAUGGGGGCAACCCUGAUCCAGCCAUGCCGCGUGUGUGAAGAAGGCCCUCGGGUUGUAAAGCACUUUCAGUGAGGAAGAACGCCUGGUGGUUAAUACCCAUCAGGAAAGACAUCACUCACAGAAGAAGCACCGUCUAACUCCGUGCCAGCAGCCGCGGUAAUACGGAGGGUGCGAGCGUUAAUCGGAAUUACGGGGCGUAAAGCGCGCGUAGGUGGCUUGAUAAGCCGGUUGUGAAAGCCCCGGGCUCAACCUGGGAACGGCAUCCGGAACUGUCAAGCUAGAGUGCCGGAGAGGAAGGUAGAAUUCCCGGUGUAGCGGUGAAAUGCGUAGAGAUCGGGAGGAAUACCAGUGGCGAAGGCGGCCUUCUGGACUGACACUGCCACUGAGGUGCGAAAGCGUGGGUAGCAAACAGGAUUAGAUACCCUGGUAGUC